rnacentral:rRNA from 1 species
AACGAACGCUGGCGGCAUGCCUAACACAUGCAAGUCGAACGAGACCUUCGGGUCUAGUGGCGCACGGGUGCGUAACGCGUGGGAACCUGCCCUUAGGUUCGGAAUAACUCCCCGAAAGGGGUGCUAAUACCGGAUAAUGUCUUCGGACCAAAGAUUUAUCGCCUUUGGAUGGGCCCGCGUUGGAUUAGCUAGUUGGUAGGGUAAAAGCCUACCAAGGCGACGAUCCAUAGCUGGUCUGAGAGGAUGAUCAGCCACACUGGGACUGAGACACGGCCCAGACUCCUACGGGAGGCAGCAGUGGGGAAUAUUGGACCAUGGGCGAAAGCCUGAUCCAGCACUGCCGGGUGAGUGAUGAAGGCCUUAGGGUUGUAAAGCGCUUUUAACCGGGAUGAUAAUGACAGUACCGGGAGAAUAAGCUCCGGCUAACUCCGUG